GCCAGACUCCUACGGGAGGCAGCAGUGGGGAAUAUUGCACAAUGGGGGAAACCCUGAUGCAGCAACGCCGCGUGAGUGAAGAAGUAUUUCGGUAUGUAAAGCUCUAUCAGCAGGGAAGAAGAUGACGGUACCUGAAUAAGAAGCCCCGGCUAACUACGUGCCAGCAGCCGCGGUAAUACGUAGGGGGCAAGCGUUAUCCGGAUUUACUGGGUGUAAAGGGAGCGUAGACGGCAAUACAAGUCGGAAGUGAAAUACCCGGGCUUAACCUGGGAACUGCUUUGGAAACUGUAUGGCUGGAGUGCUGGAGAGGUAAGCGGAAUUCCUAGUGUAGCGGUGAAAUGCGUAGAUAUUAGGAGGAACACCAGUGGCGAAGGCGGCUUACUGGACAGUAACUGACGUUGAGGCUCGAAAGCGUGGGGAGCAAACAGGAUUAGAUACCCCCGUAA
rnacentral:rRNA from 1 species